rnacentral:rRNA from 1 species
GAUGAACGCUGGCGGCGUGCCUAAUACAUGCAAGUCGAGCGAACAGACGAGGAGCUUGCUCCUCUGACGUUAGCGGCGGACGGGUGAGUAACACGUGGAUAACCUACCUAUAAGACUGGUAUAACUUCGGGAAACCGGAGCUAAUACCGGAUAAUAUAUUGAACCGCAUGGUUCAAUAGUGAAAGACGGUUUUGCUGUCACUUAUAGAUGGAUCCGCUCCGCAUUAUCUAGUUGGUAAGGUAACGGCUUACCAAGGCAACGAUGCGUAGCCGACCUGAGAGGGUGAUCGGCCACACUGGAACUGAGACACGGUCCAGACGCCUACGGGAGGCAGCAGUAGGGAAUCUUCCGCAAUGGGCGAAAGCCUGACGGAGCAACGCCGCGUGAGUGAUGAAGGUCUUCGGAUCGUAAAACUCUGUUAUUAGGGAAGAACAAAUGUGUAAGUAACUAUGCACGUCUUGACGGUACCUAAUCAGAAAGCCACGGCUAACUACGUG